rnacentral:rRNA from 1 species
AUUGAACGCUGGCGGCAGGCCUAACACAUGCGAGUCGAGCGGAUGAAGGGAGCUUGCUCCUGGAUUCAGCGGCGGACGGGUGAGUAAUGCCUAGGAAUCUGCCUGGCAGUGGGGGAUAACGUCCGGAAACGGGCGCUAAUACCGCAUACGUCCUGAGGGAGAAAGUGGGGGAUCUUCGGACCUCACGCUAUCAGAUGAGCCUAUGUCGGAUUAGCUAGUUGGUGGGGUAAAGGCCUACCAAGGCGACGAUCCGUAACUGGUCUGAGAGGAUGAUCAGUCACACUGGAACUGAGACACGGUCCAGACUCCUACGGGAGGCAGCAGUGGGGAAUAUUGGACAAUGGGCGAAAGCCUGAUCCAGCCAUGCCGCGUGUGUGAAGAAGGUCUUCGGAUUGUAAAGCACUUUAAGUUGGGAGGAAGGGCAGUAAGUUAAUACCUUGCUGUUUUGACGUUACCAACAGAAUAAGCACCGGCUAACUUCGUG